GGCUCAAGUGAUCCUCCCACCUCAGCCUCUAGAGUAGCUGGGACUACAGGUUGAGACUGUACAUUUUUGGAAAGAAUACCUCAGAAGUGAUGUUAUUGUCCAUCUAUGUCCCUGUAUCAUAUCAAAGGUCAAUACAAGAAUUACUGACAAUGGACCCUGGUUUUAUGUAUAUUUCUGUUCUAUGAUUAAUAGCACAAAAUAGUUCACUUUAUUUUCCUCUCAGAAUAUUUUUGAUCAAUGAGUUGCCUUGGUUAUAUGAUGUGGAUCUCACACUUCCAUUUUCUCAGGCAGAAUGCUACCGCUGAACAAAAGAGAGAUUUGUUGGUGGCCCUCCAAUCAUGAGAAUGUAGCAAUAAAAUAAAGAAAAUCGAUAUAGAAAACAA